rnacentral:lncRNA from 1 species
GGAAUAACUCGUUGUGACGUAUUACCAAACAAUAUGACUUAGACAACAUCAACACACACAUGCACAAAAAUAGCUAAGUCAUAGCAUGCCCAAGCACCCUCCGUCCCUUAUUUUACACUACUAUUUGACACACCAAACGACCUCCGAUUGAGCUGAAAUUUGGAUAUAUGCUAGACCUCAUUGCAUACUUCCAUAUACCCGGAGGUUGCCCGGGACAAUCUUGAUAAUUCUCGAUGAUGCCCGGGGCCGAAGGUGUACACUCAACCAUGACUCCAACCCUUUAACUAUGAGCAUAUUCUCCCA